ensembl:lncRNA
CCCCUUUAAGUAGUCAGUUAAAAGACUGCUCAGAGCAUCGCUGUCAUCACUCUGCACUGCGGCAGCUCUGAAUUCAAAGUAUAAUAAGGAAAGGACAGUUGCCAUUCACCCAGGAAUGUACUUAUGCAUUUUUAGUCUUAUAAAAUUUGAAGUAAACUGUGGGAUGAUUUAUGAAGGAGUUAGAAUGAACAAUAGAGAGGUUUGAACUAAAGAAAUAAAUAACGGAGAUGACCAUUUAAAAUUUGCAGUGAGGUAAAAUUUGAUCAUACAUAAAAUUCACCUUUAUUACUAUUAUCAACAGUCAACUCCUUGUCAGUUAUGUAUAUAAACUGUGGUUUUAACCAUCUAUGGUAAAUUUUCACCCCUACCCUGGGUUUCCUUGCCUAUCCAAGAAGUCCUGGCUGACUUUUCCCAGUUACUGGGAACUUCUUAAGGGAUAAGGUUGUUGUUCUUAACUAAAUAUGUACUGCGUUCCAAAAUACAGUGCGCAGGCUGCUGCUCUCAGAUGAGUGAGCCAGCUCUUCUAUGCAAAGGAGAGAGCGUCACAUGGGAAAAUGAUGCAGACCCCAGGGCCUUGCCUCUGCUCCGCUUCUGACCAAGAUGCAGGCAGACAGCGAGACCUGUGGCUGAGCCCAGCUGACAGACAGGUGAGGGGCAAUCUUUUCUUUUCCUCACUGACGUGGCUCUAGAGACAGCAGUACAGCAUCCCCUACAGACUGCUCGUGCCACUGUCUCAUUUCCCUAACAGUCAUUUGGUAUCGCCCAUUAAACAGGUGCUUUAUCGAGCACCGCACGCAAGCAGUGCUCUGUGCUGGGGUAGGCUCCUAACGGUAAACAUCAGACUGGCGUUCCUUGUGCGAGCUCGAGCAGACUCGCUUUGCCUUCUCCUCCAUGGACAAGGCAAAUAAUUUACCAGGAUCUUUUUCAUACAAGCUAUUCAGAUGACAGGCAGUAACUGUCACUUCUUAAUCUUCUCCAGCAUUGGAUUUGCUAAAUAUAUUUUAAAAACAUUACAUAAAAACAACACAAACCAAUACAGAAACCCCACAUGCUGAUGCAUGGAUAUGUGUUUCCAGAGGGAAAGGAAGCCUCAUCUAUAUAUAUAUAUUUUUUUUGCUUGAGGAAGCUUGUCCCUAAGCUAACAUCUAUGCCAAUCUUCCUCUUUUUUUGCAUGUGGGACGCUGCCACAGCAUGGCUUGAUGAACCGUGUGUAGGUCCAUACCUGGGAUCUGAACCCAUGAACCCCAGGCUGCCCAAGCAGAGUGAGUGAACCUAACCACUACACCACCAGGCUGCCUCAUUUUUUUUGGGUGAGCAAGAUUAGCUCUGAGCUAACAUCCAUGCCAGUCCUCCUCCACUUUGUAUGCGGGAUGCCUCCACAGCAUGGCUGAUGAGUGGAGUAGGCCUGCACCCAGGGUCUGAACCCGUGAACCUGGGCCACCUGAAGCAGAGUGCACAGAACUUUAAUCACUGGGCCGCGGGGCAGCCCCUUCAUCUGUAUUUUCACCCCAGAUGGAAGCGUUAAAACGUGUUAUUCAUUCUGUCAAUGCUCACUGAGCUCCUGUGAUGCGCCACACUGGAUUAAGCGCUGCAGGGCACUGGGGGGUGAAGGCGCUGGGGGCCGGUCUCCUGGGGACGAGGCGUUCUGCACAGGCCGCUGUGGGAGCGAGAGCAGUGGAGGUCGGAGCUUCCUCCGGGAGGGGCCGCAGCUCACCAGGGUCUGACACGCUGCGGACAUUCCCAGGACCCUGCAUCAGCCAGCCAGGACUAUGCUCCUCUGCUUGCUGCUGAACUGUGUUUUUUUGCCUGACGGUAAGCUGUUGUUACUCGGAUCAGAUAAACCAGACCUAAAAGCAAACCGACACGCAAAGGAAUGAAACCUGGCUCUUCGGAGUGCGGUGACAGAGUCCUGUGAAAGCAAAUGAUGAUUCUUUUAUGGGAAAUGGUGAAAAAGAGCCUGAUAGUGGGCUAAUUCUCUAGUGCAGAACAUUGCCUUCUGCUACAUUUUCGCUUCCUUUGGAUCAGUAAUAGUGUUAUUUGGGGUCAAGGGUCCUUUUGAGGACCUGAUUGAAACUAUGGUCCCUCCAGUGGCAGGAGACAGUCUCAGGAGAGGGCUGCACAUUCUCCAUGUCUCAGGUCACACACCCUUCGUAUGAUUCCCAAACAUGGAACUGACCCUGCCAGGCGUCAAAAUGUGUCAUAAAGCUGCAAUAAAUGAGUGUGAUUCUGGUACAAGUAUUCAAUAGGAAAGAAUAAAAGUGAAGAAAGUCCUAAAAGCAUAUCAAAUCCAUGGAAAAGUUGGGUUUUUAUAAUGGUAUGGUGAAAAGUAACAAAUCAUGUGAAAAGAAAUGUUAGACUUCUGCCUCAAACCACCCCCUGCCGAAAGGAAUUCCAGCUGGUUAAACACUGACGUGUAAAAACUAAAACUGUUAAAGAAUUAGAAUAACAAAAAUACAGGUGAAUAGUUUCUUAUCACUGAGUGGGAAAAACCUAAGCGGCAAUC